ACCUCCUCAGGAUCGCAUCUGGGGAGUUUCCGGUACUCUACCAGGCUCAGCUUUGGGAAGGAGAGCCAAGCAGAGGCCUACCCAUUCCAUUCCUAGCUUGGGCAGCGGUUAGAGAGUGAAAGGCAAUCUGCUACAAGU